CGGACGGGUGAGUAAUGCUUGGGAAUCUAGCUUAUGGAGGGGGGUAACUACGGGAAACUGUAGCUAAUACCGCGUAAUAUCGAAAGAUUAAAGUGUGGGACCUUCGGGCCACAUGCCAUAAGAUGAGCCCAAGUGGGAUUAGGUAGUUGGUGAGGUAAAGGCUCACCAAGCCGACGAUCUCUAGCUGGUCUGAGAGGAUGACCAGCCACACUGGGACUGAGACACGGCCCAG
rnacentral:rRNA from 1 species